GAUGAACGCUAGCGGCAGGCUUAAUACAUGCAAGUCGAGGGGCAGCACGAAUAGCAAUAUUUGGUGGCGACCGGCAAACGGGUGCGGAACACGUACGCAACCUUCCCAAAACAGGUGAAUAGCCCUGCGAAAGUAGGAUUAAUACACCGUAAGAUAUAGAUGUGGCAUCAUAUUUAUAUUAUAGGUCGCAAGAUCGGUUUUGGAUGGGCGUGCGCCUGANAGGUAGUUGGUGCGGGUAACGGCCCACCAAGCCUCCGAUCAGUAACUGGUGUGAGAGCACGACCAGUCACACGGGCACUGAGACACGGGCCCGACUCCUACGGGAGGCAGCAGUAAGGAAUAUUGGUCAAUGGACGAAAGUCUGAACCAGCCAUGCCGCGUGCAGGAUGAAGGCCCCUCUGGGUUGUAAACUGCUUUUUAUCUGGGGAACGAAAAAAGGGAUUUCUUUCUCACUUGACGGUACCAGAGGAAUAAGCACCGGCUAACUCCGUGCCAGCCGCCGCC
rnacentral:rRNA from 1 species